AAAGUACUAGUAAAAAUGGAAUUACACUGCCUUGUCGAGGCAGAAUUGUGGGUUAGACCCCCACGUAUUUUG
rnacentral:tRNA from 1 species